AACGAACGCUGGCGGCGUGGAUAAGACAUGCAAGUCGAACGAGAUUUUCCGUUGUAGCAAUACGAUGGAAAGUCUAGUGGCGAACGGGUGCUUAACACGUGGGCAACCUGCCAGGAAGUGGGGGAUAGCUCGCCGAAAGGCGAAUUAAUACCGCAUGUGAUUAGAGAGGACAUCCUUUUCGAAAUUAAAGUCGGGGCAACCUGACGCUUCUUGUGGGGCCCGCGGCCUAUCAGCUAGUUGGUGAGGUAACGGCUCACCAAGGCUUUGACGGGUAGCUGGUCUGAGAGGACGACCAGCCACACUGGGACUAAGACACGGCCCAGACACCUACGGGUGGCAGCAGUCGAGAAUUUUUGACAAUGGGGAAAACCCUGAUCGAGCGACGCCGCGUGGAGGAUGAAGGUCUUCGGAUUGUAAACUCCUGUCAUUGGGGAACAAUGCGCAAAUAUUAACUGUAUUUGUGUUGAUAGUACCCGAAGAGGAAGAGACGGCUAACUCUGUGCCAGCAGCCGCAGUAAGAC
rnacentral:rRNA from 1 species